GAUGAACGCUGGCGGCGUGCUUAACACAUGCAAGUCGAACGGAAAGGCCCAAGCUUGCUUGGGUACUCGAGUGGCGAACGGGUGAGUAACACGUGGGUGAUCUGCCCUGCACUUCGGGAUAAGCCUGGGAAACUGGGUCUAAUACCGGAUAGGACGCUGGUUUGGAUGCCAUUGUGGAAAGCUUUUUCGGUGUGGGAGGAGCUCGCGGCCUAUCAGCUUGUUGGUGGGGUAAUGGCCUACCAAGGCGUCGACGGGGAGCCGGCAUGAGAGGGUGUACGGCCACAUUGGGACUGAGAGGCGGCCCGGACUCGGGCGGGAGGCAGCAGGGGGGAAUGUUGCACAAAGGGCGCAAGCGUGAGGCAGCGACGCCGCGUGGGGGAUGACGGCCUUCGGGGUGUAAACACCGCACGCGAGUGACGAAGCGUUUUUGUGACGGUACCUGGAGAAGAAGCACCGGCUAACUACGUG
rnacentral:rRNA from 1 species